AGUCGUACAGGUCUCCGUAGGUGAACCUACGGAGGGAUCAUUACACAAAUAUGAAGGCGGGCUGGAACCUCUCGGGGUUACAGCCUUGCUGAAUUAUUCACCCUUGUCUUUUGCGUACUUCUUGUUUCCUUGGUGGGUUCGCCCACCACUAGGACAAACAUAAACCUUUUGUAAUUGCAAUCAGCGUCAGUAACAAAUUAAUAAUUACAACUUUCAACAACGGAUCUCUUGGUUCUGGCAUCGAUGAAGAACGCAGCGAAAUGCGAUAAGUAGUGUGAAUUGCAGAAUUCAGUGAAUCAUCGAAUCUUUGAACGCACAUUGCGCCCUUUGGUAUUCCAAAGGGCAUGCCUGUUCGAGCGUCAUUUGUACCCUCAAGCUUUGCUUGGUGUUGGGCGUCUUGUCUCUAGCUUUGCUGGAGACUCGCCUUAAAGUAAUUGGCAGCCGGCCUACUGGUUUCGGAGCGCAGCACAAGUCGCACUCUCUAUCAGCAAAGGUCUAGCAUCCAUUAAGCCUUUUUUUCAACUUUUGACCUCGGAUCAGGUAGGGAUACCCGCUGAACUUA
rnacentral:rRNA from 1 species